UACGAAGGGUGCAAGCGUUACUCGGAAUUACUGGGCGUAAAGCGUGCGUAGGUGGUUUUUUAAGUCCGUUGUGAAAGCCCUGGGCUCAACCUGGGAAUGGCAGUGGAUACUGGAAAGCUAGAGUGCGGUAGAGGGUAGUGGAAUUCCCGGUGUAGCAGUGAAAUGCGUAGAGAUCGGGAGGAACACCGGUGGCGAAGGCGGCAUCCUGGACCGGCAUUGACGCUGAGGAGCGAAAGCCAGGGGAGCAAACGGG
rnacentral:rRNA from 1 species